UAGGAGCCCGGUACUUGCAGUUACUGCAGAAGCCCCCAGGAAAGCCACCAGCAUGAGUCGUCGCCUGCACUGGGUGGGCUGUGAUCCGCCAUGAUAACAUCGAGAGCCGACGGCCAGUUCUGCCAACGCAGAAAGUGAGUUAAGACGAAACAUCCUGUGGACAAAAAGUAGAAAUGUUACUCCUAACUAGUGACGGCAACAGUGAUGAUGAUGAUGAUGAUGAUGAUGAUGAUGAUGAUGACGACGAUGACGCAGCAGAAGAAGAAGAUAGUAUCAGCAUCACCAACACGCACCACGGACAUGCUCAAUGGCGGACACUAUAUACUCUGCGAUCCCAUGUAGUAUUCCGUUUAAUCCUCAGAACAACUGUCUGAGAAAAAUACUACUUAUGAACCUGGCAUAUGAGUCAAAGUACAAUAAGAAGACAAGAAACCACACAGUAAUUUGAACAGGGAAAGGUGCAUAUCUUGCCAUAUGCCUUGCGGUGACUAAUGGAAUGUGAGUCAGUUCCACAGAGCACUUUCCAGAAGUAUUGCUGUUAGCCUUCUUGUGCCUCUGCAUUCUGUCAAGAGAAGAUCAUGGCCCUGGUAGGCAUGCUCCUUCAACCUGGGCUCCCUAAUGGACCAACCGCAGCCUGAAGCCAGGCACUGGGAAGACCAGCUGAGCCAGUGGAGCACAGCUGACAUAUGGAAUGCUAGUGAGAAAUAAAUGUUUAUGACUGCAAGCCACUAAAA